rnacentral:rRNA from 1 species
GACGAACGCUGGCGGCGUGCUUAACACAUGCAAGUCGAACGGAAAGGCCCUGCUUUUGUGGGUUUCUCGAGUGGCGAACGCGUGAGUAACACGUGAGUAACCUGCCCUUGACUUUGGGAUAACUUCAGGAAACUGGGGCUAAUACCGGAUAUGAUCUCCUGCUGCAUGUUGUGGGUUGGAAAGUUUCGGCUGUUGGGUAUGGACUCGCUGCUUAUCAGCUUGUUUGUGGGGUAGUGGCUUACCAAGGCUUUGACGGAUAGCCUGCCUGAGAGGGUGACCGGGGACAUUGGGACUGAGAUACGGCGCAGAAUCCUACGGGAGGCAGUAGUGGGGAACAUUGCAGAAUGGGGGGAAGUCAGAGGCAGAAACGCCGCGUGCGGGAUGACGGCCUUCGGGUUGUAAACCGAUUUCGAAUGUGACGAAGCGGGAGUGACGGUAAUGGGUAAAGAAGCAACGGCUAACUACGUG